rnacentral:rRNA from 1 species
GUGGGGAAUAUUGCACAAUGGGCGCAAGCCUGAUGCAGCCAUGCCGCGUGUGUGAAGAAGGCCUUCGGGUUGUAAAGCACUUUCAGCGAGGAGGAAGGGUUCAGUGUUAAUAGCACUGUUCAUUGACGUUACUCGCAGAAGAAGCACCGGCUAACUCCGUGCCAGCAGCCGCGGUAAUACGGAGGGUGCAAGCGUUAAUCGGAAUUACUGGGCGUAAAGCGCACGCAGGCGGUUUGUUAAGUCAGAUGUGAAAUCCCGCGCUUAACGUGGAACUG